UGACCGCCUGCUCAGUAGAACCUG
rnacentral:misc_RNA from 1 species